AUGAGGUGAAAGGCAGAUCAGAAAUAAGCCCAGCUUGGAAGAAAGUGAGGAUACCAACCUGGCAGAGAAAGAGGAGCUGAUGAAGGAGACUAGAGAAGGACCCGUCUGGAAAUACAGAACUUGGGCCAAGUAAAGGAGGACCUUGAAGGACUCACCUGCUUUUGGGUCCAGGUGAACUCGCUGUGGUAUUGUUCUUCUCUGCUCCGUUUCCAAAGGAGAGCCCAGGCGCAUUAAUUGCUGGGUGGCAGCUACACUAAAUGCAAGCGGACGACAGCUGGGUGCCAGGCUCGCUCUGCAAGAGAAGGAAAUACACCCGAGAGACCAAAUGCAUACAAUGAAUCCAGCAAUUACCAACCACCAUGGACAGGCAGCAAACGCUCAAACAACAAAACACCCAAGGAUGGGCGGCUGCCGGCUUCUGACUUCCUUCAUGGGGAUGGGAGUCCCAGAUCUGGGUCUAGGACUCCCUCCCACUUCUGUCCUGGGACAGCUGAUUUCAAUACUGCCAAAGACGUGGAACUUUUCUUAAGAAGGUUCUCUCCUGAUUUAUUUUGAGUAAACAACUGAUACAGGUUAUGUAUAGUGCUGGGAAAACUAGUGCAGAGAAAGAGGAGGGACAUAACUAGUUUUGUUGUCAUCUGUGAAACAUUUAAUUGCAAAAUUGUUGAAAGGAAAAUUAGACCUCUCUCUCUUCCCCCCCACCCCCCCCCCGCCCAAGUAUGGCUUUGGCAGAAAAAUCCCAAAGGAACAUUAGAAAGUGGAGAUUAAGGGUGAAGAUAGGGAGAGACAUUCAAAAACACACCACCAUUUCAUACCUUUGGGGCUGAGUUCUUCAGUCAUUCAACAAGCAUUUCUUGACCACAUUCUAUGUAUUGGACACCGUUUUACUGAGCAAGACAAUUUAGAAUGAGGUUGUGGACAUGAACUUAGAGCUACCUGGGCUUAUAAUCCCAGUUCAGCCACCUACUAGCUAUGUGUCCUUGAGCCAUCUACCUAAUCUAUCUGUGCCUCCUUUCUCUCACUUGUUGAAUGGAAAUAAUACCAUUAAGUCCUUCACAAGGUCUCGGUGAAAUGGAAAUAAUAAUAUUCCUUACCCCAUAGGGUCAUUGUGAGGAUUAAAUUGGUUAAUGCCUGUGAAGCACUUAGAAAAAUUCUUGGUACAUAUUAACUACCAAGUACAUAUUAGCUCUUAUUUGGUGGUGAUGUUGUGUUGCUGUUUAACAUGAAUGAAUGUGCCAUGUGACAUUUUGCGUAAAUGAUGAUGAAAGGGAAGAAACAUUACCCCAAACCUAUUAGUGAAAGACUGGGUAGACAUGAUUUUUAUUCAUGCUCCCUCCUGCAGAUAGUAAAUUACUUAGGAAGUUGUUUUUGUCACUUUCUACUUUGAUCCCCAAACAUCAAGAACAUGGUUUCUUUAAAUAAUUCUUUAAAAAUUGUUAGAACAACAAUGAUAUGGGCUAUCUAUAGGAACAUGUAGGAAGCGUGUUUACCAUCACCUAACUGAAAAUUAGAAUGAUCAUCUUGGGUAUGUUAAAUUGAAUUAAGUUUGGCCUAAAGCUGCCUCCAUCCAUAUUUUAAGGUUGGCCUAACAGUUUCUCCAUGCGUAGCGAACUGUAACCUAACUUGAUGGUUAAACAGACAGUAGCCUACGAUUGUAACAAGUAGCCAAGUCUCAGCCAAUCUGAGUGGCUGAGUUUCAGCCAAUCAUGGGGACCAACUGUUCAACCUGUGUUCCUAGAAGGUGACCACUGAGCUGUCACCAAUUCAGCUGUUUCUGUACCCACUUCCAUUCUGUGUAUGUCACUUUUUUUUUUCUGUCUGUAAAUAUUAUCCAUGCAGCAGUCCUGGGGUUGCUCUGAAUCUAUUCUGGUUUGGGGGCGGGGCGGGGGGGUGCGUGCUGCCUGAUUCAUGAGUCGUUCUUUGUUCCUACAUUCUGUUAAAUUGAACUUGUCUAAAGUUUUUCUUUGAACAGGUAGUGGGACUGAGCUACUAUUCAAAAUAUUCUCUGUGCCCCACUGUGGCUCGCCAUCAUACCUUCUGUAUCUUUUGCUUAUCUUCCUGUCAUGAGACUAGCAAUGUCUUGACACCACUCACCUGAAGCCGGCAAUCAACCAACUGAGGAAGACAUCAAUCUCUGUGAUUGUAAACUACUGAGAUCGGGUAGUUUGUGGCCUUAACCUAGCCCAUCCUGACUGAUACAGCGACCCCAACCAAUGACCACCUAACCCAUUGUUUUAUCUUUAUUUGAUGCCAGUAUUGCUUUUUUGCUAGUUGGUUAUUACAGGAAGAGUAGAUGUUCAUGUAUUAAAAAGUAAGGUUUGGCCAGGUGCGGUGGAUCAAGCCUGUAAUCCCAGCACUUUGGGAGGCUGAGCCAGGCGGAUCACGAGGUCAGGAGUUCAAGAUCAGCCUGGCCAACGUGGUGAAACCCUGUCUCUACUAAAAAUACAAAAAUUAGCUGGGUGUGGUGGCGCACACCUGUAAUCCUAGCUACUCAGCAGGCUGAGGCAGGAGGAUUGCUUGAACCCGGGAGGCAGAGGUUGCAGUGAGCUGAGAUAGCACCACCACACUCCAGCCAGGGUGACAGAGUGAGAGUCUGUCUCAGAAAAAAAAAAAAAAAAGUACAGCUUACAUCCCAAAUAAUUUUUGUUUCCUUAGUAAAUUACUAUGGAUCCACUACCCAUGCAUUCAUCUAGGUUCACCAUCCUUUUACUUAUUCACUUAUUUAACAGACCUUCUGUUAGUAACUAGUUUAUACUGGAUUUGGGUCUUGGUUCUGGGGGAAGCAGGUAGGUGGUUCAGAAAUGCGAAAAACAGGGUUCCUGUCCCCAGCAUGUUUAUCAAGAAUGCAAAAAUCUGUUUUAGGACACAUAAAGUUCUAGACACUUAUUUACUGGGCAAAGUAAAAUUGUGUCCUACUUGUACCACUCUGUUUAAACUUCAAGCCCUUCCCCCUAGCUACCAAUAUUUUAUGAGUUAGCAUUGACUUAGUGGUUACUCUAAUUUGUAGUCUUCAUAAGGGUUAAAAUGUAAAUCAGAUCUUUUGCACCUUGACUUUCCAGGCUAAACAUGUGUAUUUAUUUAAAUUAAUCUCUCAUUGACUGUCCUCACUAUCUUCAUAAUGUUAGUUGCCCCUUAUUUGGCUAUUUAAACCUCAGCAGUUGUUUUCUCUUUGGGGCAGAUAUCUAGCUUAAGCAAAUCUCUCCAGAUUUUGACACCCUGUGACUUUUUUGGUGAGUUUUCGCUGUAAUUUUUUUAUUUUUUCAAGAAAUAUCCAGAUGAUAAACACUGUAAAUAUAUUUUUGAUUUAUGUCCAUUUCUGGCCAGAAUUUUCUAGAUAAUAACUUCAGUCUUCUGUUAUUUUUCCCCUUGUCAUUCACUCAUGCUUGAGAUUUUAUAUGCACUGGGGUCUGGGAUAAGGGAGUAAAAUUUACUUAACUUUGAGCACGUUAUCACUUUUUCCAGCAUCUUGGGUAUAUUACAUAUCUUAUUAAUUGCCAAAUGACUCCUCUUUUAAUAAGUUCUCAAAUCUUUUAGUAGAUCUAAGCUCUUAAACAAAUAAACCCAAUAUUUCUUGUAGACAUGGACAAAUGAAGUUUUGCAUUUCAACCAAAGUAAGAGAAUAGUCUUUAAAACAGAUACAAAAUAAUAAUAACAGGAAAUGUUUUCUCUUCCUCUAGUGAUCAUAUUUUCACUUGGAAAGAUUUUGUAUAUGAAAAGGAAAAUAAUAAUCUUACUUAUUUUUAUAAGUUAUCAAAGAUAACUUAUAAAAUACUGCUGUUUUAAAAAAGAAAAUUAAAAAUUAAUAAAAGAUAGAAAAAUA